rnacentral:tRNA from 1 species
GCCUGAGUGCCGGAAUCGGUAGACGGAUCGGACUUAAAAUCCGCUGACUUGUAAAAGUCGUGCGAGUUCAAGUCUCGCCUUAGGCA